GACCACUCAGCCGGAAAAUGGUGGGUGAUAACCGAUGGGGUUAAAGGGAACCCAGGUGCCAACACUUUGACCAGUUGGUUUAGAAUAGAGAAGACGACUACUGAUUUUGAUUACACAUUUAAGUACUGCCCCGCAGUAUGUGGAACAUGCCCAGCCUUAUGCAACAAAAUUGUGAGAGACUUUGAUGGAGAAAUGGUACGUUUGGCUCUCACCACUGGCCAUGGAUGGCCAUUUAUCUUUAAGAAAGUUGGAAAAUCAGCCAUGGAGAUUGAACAAGUUGUUCAUAAUUAGAUUGAAAGCAAUCAUUAUGCAUGAACUAGUAGUUACUACAUAAUAUUAGCUUCAAGUAAAUAAUGCUGAGGGAACUUAUUGUUAAGAUUGCCUUGUUUGAAGCGGCAGCAUGUAUAUAUAUAUGCUUGCUUACAAGGUUUGUCUCUCAGAGUCCUCCUCUUUGUACUCUUUUCAGCUUAAUGAAUAAACUGUUUACUUAUUUACUUCUUUUGUUGCCAUUGAUUCUAGUAGCAUUCGACUCAUUAACUUGGAUACAUUACCUUGUAAUUAACCAAAAAGUUAUGUGUAUAUAUAUAAAGAGUGUGUGAGAGAAAAAAUAAAAUACCAAGUACCAAGUGAAAAAUGUUAAUACUAGGAUUAUUCAAAGCGAUUUCAAUGAACAGAAAUGGAAUAGUCGUCGGGUGGUUAGGACAUUUUAUCUUUAGAGAUAAAGAAGGUUGGUUCAUGUUCGGAGUUUGUGGCCACUCCUUCAAUAAUAUCGUUUUUAAAGUUUAAACUUGUAUCACAUUUUAAACACGUAAUGUAUCUUACCAUUACAUCCAACAAUAUUAACCAUUUACUCUAUUGUAUUGUAUUGUAUUCUAUUAUUAAUUAAUGAUUAUGAUAUGUAUUAAGUUUAAGAUGAAUUUUCUCAGUAAUGUAUAUCAAUGAAAUCAAAUAUUUGUAUUUAAAGUUUUAACUCCACAUUAACUUUUUUUUUAUUUUGUCCGUUUGCUGGCGAUGAUUAGGAGAUUAAUGGUUGGUAUUUGUGGUUAGUAGCUUAUAACUCGAGGGUUGAUAGUGGCCCGACUCCACUUAAAUAAAAAAUUUUACAUUUAAAUUUCUUUAUAAUUUAUAAAAUUUUAAAUUAAUAAUAAAAAAUUAUAUUUUAACUCUCUAAAAUUAAUAAAAAUGAUAAAAAUGUAGAAGUAAAUUUAUACAAUUAAUGAUAAUAAUGAUAAGAAGUUGUUUCCUAUCACAUGGAAAUUUAUGGCAUCGUCCAUUUGGUUUUAUAUUUGUCCAUUUGCUUGGUUAAGAGUUGAAAGACAAACUAUAAUUAAAUAUACAAAACCAAACGAAUUUCAAGGGUUUUCUCUUCAAUUAUUGUCGAAUUUAGCUAAUUAUUAGUAAUUUUUAUUAUUUAAUUAUAAAAAUUAUAAAAUAGUGACUUAAUUAUAAAUAUAUAUAUAUAUAUAAAAUAGCCAUCUAAUUAUUUAAUUUUUUUCUUUUUUAUCAUCACAGGAUUAAUGGUGGUAAUUUUUAUAAUUGACAUAAUAGUAACUUUAACCAUUAAUAAUUAUACAUUAUGUCAAUUUAGUCUUGAUUCUAAAAAAUUUAACCUUUGACAUUUACACAUAUAUAAUUUGAUAUUUUUAUAAUUUUAUUUUUUACUAAAAAUAAAUCAUGAAAAUAAUAAAAUAUGCAUAAAAAUAAAAAUACAGCUACCGAGUAUAUGUCUUAUUGUAGAUUUAUAACAAUUAUCUUUUCAUAAAGAUAUUUUAUUAUAAAAUAUAUAAUAAGCACUUCCCUGUAACAAAUAAAAUUGUAGUAAACAAAUGAAAUUAUUAUAAAGAAGAAUUUUCUAUUUUCAUAAUAAUAAUAAUAAUAAUAAAAGAAAAGAAAAAAGUGGUUCUAUUAAUUCACCUCACAUUUGAAAUAUGUUAUAUGUAAUAAUAUUAAUGUCUUUAUCAAUUUUGGUGGUUCAUCCUUUCCCAUCUCUAUAAAUUUGCAUGCAGAACUAAAGCAACACAUAUCAACACAAUCUGUAUAACCAUGAAAACCACAACAGCUUCGGUGUUUCUUCUUUUCAUCAUCUUCUCAAUCACACCAUUGUCCUUUUCGUUUGGUGUGGCCAACACUACAAACGCUCCUGUGCUCGACAGUGAUGGCAACGAGCUCCGCACAGGCACCCCAUACUUCGUUGUGUCGUCGAUAUGGGGUGCUGGUGGUGGGGGGCUUGCCCUAGGCAUGCCUAGAGGAAAGCCAUGCCCGGAAGUCGUUGCUCAAAGAGGAUCCGGUGACGAUGGUAUUCCGGUGAUAUUUUCUAAUUCGGACUCCAACGAUGGCGUUGUUCGCCUAUCCUCUGACAUAAACAUAGAGUUCAUUCCCCUCAGACCCAGAUUUUGCCAAACAACAACGGUGUGGAAGGUCGAUGAUUACGACCACUCAGCCGGAAAAUGGUGGGUGAUAACCGAUGGGGUUAAAGGGAACCCAGGUGCCAACACUUUGACCAGUUGGUUUAGAAUAGAGAAGGCGGGUGAUCUUGAUUACCCAUUUAAGUACUGCCCCGCUGUAUGUGGAACAUGCCCAGCCUUAUGCAACAAAAUUACGAGAGACUCAGAUGGAGAAAUGAUACGUUUGGCUCUCUCCGCUGGCCAUGGAUGGCCAUUUUUCUUUAAGAAAUUUCAAACAUCAGCCAUGGAGAUUGAACAAGUUGUUCAUAAUUAGAUUGAAAGCAAUCAUUAUGCAUGAACUAGUAGUUACUAUACAAUAUUAGCUUCAAGUAAAUAAUGCUGGGAGAACUGAUUGUUAAGAUUGCCUUGUUUGAAGCAGCAGCAUGUAUAUAUAUAUGCUUGCUUACAAGGUUUGUCUCUCAGAGUCCUUCUCUUUGUACUCUUUUCAGCUUAAUAUAUAAACUGUCUACUUAUUUACUUCUUUUAUUGCCAUUGAUUCUAGUAGUAUUAGACUCAUUAACUUGGAUACAUUGUCUUGUAAGAGAUAGCUUAUCUCUUAACAACUGUUUGGGUCAACAAAAUUAAUGUAUAUAUGAAAACGAAUAUUGAAUUUGGAUGUCCAAUCAAUUUUUUUAAUUAAUUAAUUAAAAAGAAUUGUUUUAAUUCAAAAAAUCUAAAAGAAUUUGAUAAAAAAUGUGGAAGGGCACACUUGUAUGAUGAAUAGUAGUGAUAAUAAUGAUAGAAGUCGUUUUCCUAGCACAAGUAUGGGAUUCGUCCAUUUGGUUUUAUAUUUAUCCACUUGCCUGAGUGUUUAAGAGUUAAAAAGGACAAAACUAUUAAGUAGAAAACACCAAACGAAUUGGAAGGCUUUUGUCUUCUUCAAUUAGUAUGACCUAUAUUUCUUAUUAAACUUCGUAUUUUACAUUCAAUAUCAUCAUCGCAAUCAUUUUAAUUUAUUUUCAUGAAUAAACUUUUAUGUCCCAUUUUAAUUGAAUCAUUAAAAAUUAUUAAUUGAAUUUUUUUUAAGUCAAGUGAUACUAAUUUGAUUUUUUUAAAAAAGUUGUUUGAAUUAAUUUGAUUUCGUGUCAUAAUUGACAUAAAUGGCCAUUGUGAAUGGCAACAUCAAUAGUUAUUGAGUACAGCGGCUAAAAUUUUCAGUUAAAAAAAAAAGAAUGAAAGGAAAACAAAAAGAAAAACGUGGAAAGAAAGAAAGAAAGAAAGAAUAAUAAUAAUAAUAAUAAUAAUAAAUAAAAUAGAAUUGUGGGGGCGAUGCUUUUGAACAAAUCUUGAUUUAAACUAUAUAAAGAAAAUAUGUGUUAUAUAUAUAAUUAAUUAUGUACUUAUACUUAAUAUAUUAUAUAUCUAAUGUCAUAUUUUCAUAUUCUCAGGAAGUGGUGACAUACAAAUACUUGAUUCGAUUUAUUUCUUUAGCUCCCCGUGAAUUGUAUGUUUGUAACAUUAGGGAUAGAAUUUCUUCAAUUAUCCAAUUGACUGGACGUAUUGUGUCGAUUUUUUUUUAGUAAUAUACCUAGAAAUACCCGUUGAUUCUUUAUAAACGCUGUUUCGAACACAACUGGUACACUCUAAAAUAAUUUACUUGAACAUCAUUACUCUUAGCCAUGAACCUCCUUUGAGUUUUUAAUUCACCCAACUUUUUUAUUUUCCGAUCAAAAGCAAAGAAGAAAGGAAUGAAAAGAAAAGAAAGAAAUCAAAGUUGCUAACUCAAAACCAAAUCCUGAAAAUUUUCAUUUCAAUGAAUAUAGUAAGUAAAUAUAGAUUUAUAGUAAUAGCAAAUAAUAAGAAUUAAGUAAUAUAACGAUUUUUAAUUCUAUUUAGAAUCAAUUAAAAUAUUCAAAUAAAUAUUCAAUUAAAAUAAAUUAAACUGUAUAAAUUUUAUAAUUUUAAAUUAUUAUUUUUGUAUUAAUUUAAAAACAAAAUAAAUAUUAUAUACAAUGAUUUAGUUACAGCGUGUCAGCUUGAAGUCUAAGACUUUAUAACAUAUAAAUUUAAUAGAUAAUUAAUAACUAAAAAAUUAAAUAGCAAAAGCAUAAUUGCGCCACUUCUCACCAUUUUAAUGUAUGCAACUUAUUAUAUAUUUAUAUAUAUUAUCAUUUUAUUUUAAAUAAUUUAAUUUUAUAAAUUUAGGGAUAAAUCUCAAAAUUAUACAUGAACUUUAAUUUAAUAUGCAAUUGUAUAUAUAAACUUUAAUUUGGUACAAUUAUACACGUGAUACUUUAAUUGUGGUUUAAAUACUCACUUGAAACUUUAGUUUUGAUUUAAUAAUGCAUAUUUAAAUAAAUAAAUACAUCAAUUUUUUUAUAUUGGGUAAAUAUAAUUAUUUAUGUAUGCAAUAUAUAACAUAAAAUGAUGUUAUAUCAAUAAUUGUGUUAAUAAUUUUCAAGAAUUGGAUCAAAUCAAAAUUUCAUGUAUAAAAUUGAACAAAAUCAAAGUUAAUGUAUACAAUUGCACAUUAAACCAUAAUUCAUGUAUAUUUUUUUGUAUAUAUCCCAUAAAUUUAUUUCAUUAACUUUUUACCUAUAUCAUAUAUAGAGUUGUUCGUGAACCGAGCCAAGGAAUGCCUGCUCGAAAAAAUGAGAGGGUUUGGCAAAAAAAUAUAUGCCUAAAAAAUGGGCUUGGAUAAAAAGACAAGGCCCGUUUAGAAAAUGAACCGGCAUUGAGUAGGGUUUUUUUGUCCGGGCUCAGCCUAACCCGAAUUUUCAAUUAAAAAAAACCUUGUUGUUUUUGCUGCUAUUUUUCCAUAUCUUGGUGUUGUUUUCUCACUUUUUGCCGCUAUUUUACUACCAUUUCACUAUUAUGUUACUACUAUUUUUUUUAAUGUUUGGAUAUAGUAUAAUAAUUGUUUUAUUGUUAAUUUUAUCACUAUUUUAGAGACAUUUGUUUGUUAUGUUGUACUUAUUUUAGUUUUUAUUUAAGUAUAAAAAAAUUUAAAAUUUAUUUUCAAUUUAUUGAUAAACAUGUAAUUUAAUAUUUUCAGUGUAUUUAUUGUAUUAUAUUUGUUAAAUUUAUAUAAAAUUAAAAUUAAAAAAAUAUGGACCGAGAUGGGAGUUUAACAAAAAUUUAGGCCCAUUUUUCAAGUCGGGCCGAUCUCAAACCUAACAAUCGGACUUAAAAUUUUGUUAGAGCUCGGCCCAUCCCAUGAACAACUCUAAUUAUAUAUAUAUGUCAUUCUCUAAUAAUAAUAAUAAUAAUAAUAAUAAUAAGUGGAUAACAUAAAACUAGUAGUAAAGAGUAAGAAGACAAAGAAGAAUUAAGUGGAUAACAUAAAACGUGCGAAAACAUUUAUCUUCAAUUCUGACACAUAAAGCUAGUAUUUUUGGGUAAAGUAUAGAAAUGGUGAUUAAAUUAUUGUUGAUGUUCUAUUUUAAUUUUUAAUUUUUCUAUUUUAGUUAUUAAAUUAUUUGAAAUUAAAUUUUUUGGUUAUCAAAGGUUAACAGUAGUUUGAAAUUUAACAGAAAUAUUGAUGUGAACUUUUCUUAUUGAUUUAAUAAUAAAUUUAGCCUUCUAAUAUUUAUAUAUUCUAUUAAUUUGAUACUAAAUAUAAAAAUUUAACAAAUUUAACCUUCAAUAUUUACAAAUUUUGUUAUUUUAAUUCAAAUUCUAAAAAAAAUUUAAUAAAUUUAACCCUCAACAUUAAAAAAUUUGAUAAAUUUCAAUUUUUAAAAUUUUGUAAAUUCCUAAAAUAUAAAGCAUCAUUCUCCACCUCAUAGGAUUCCAUGUAAAUGGAUUUUCUUGAAUUCUUUACCAAGUUGUCUUGAGUUUAAUUUCUUCUUAUUUAGUUUGUGGAAUAAAUGGCAUAUAGUUAGAUGUCACUGCAGCUGACAAUGAAAGGUUUGACAAAGUUGAUAAAUUCAGAGCUUUUGAUGCUGAGCUUCAAAUCAGUCUUGCCUCCACUCACCCAAGAAAUCAACUUUACAAUUUUUAUUAAGUCUUAACUAGAUUAAUAUGAGUAUUGUUAUCAAUAUAGGAGAAAGUGAAUUUUAGUGCGUUGAAACACAUUAUCUUCUUAUUGAUGAAUUGAGGAGGGGCUAUGAAUAGUUUUAAAUAUUAUAUUAAAAAAGCAGAGAUAAUUGAAACCUACAAUAAUAUUGUUCAAAAAAAUUACCUAAAAACACGAAAUCUUACUCCCUGAAUUUUCUAGAAACACAAAUAUUUCUCCCUGCCUUUGAUGGUGUAUACAUGCAUGGCCAUGUGUGAGCUCCUGCAUUUUAACUAAUCAACACAGAUAAUACCCUCAAUGAGACAUUAAAAUUAACUUUUAUUUUUGUUUUUUCAUAAAUUUUAUAAUUUUGUAUUUCAAUGAAAAAAUCUAAAUCUAAGUUGAUCCGAGUCCAAAAAAAAAUCUGAAGCUGUAAAAAGUUUGAUCUGAGGCUGCUCAUUUGCCACCUCUAAUAACCAUUUGAUAGAGGUUUAAUAUAAAGGAAUUUAGAUUUUAGGAAUUUAUAAAAUUUUUAAAAUUAAUUUUUUAUUUGUAAAUACUAAGGGAUAAAUCUAUUGAAGUUUUUAAAAUUUGAACUGAAAUGUCAAAAUUUGUAAACAUUGAAGGCUAAAUUUGUUUAUUUUUUCUAUUUAAGACCAAUCUGAUAGAAUGUGUACACAUUAGAAGACUAAAUUUAUUAUUAGACCAAUAAAAAAAUGCCCAACUUAACGCUUUCUCAAAUUUCAAACCGAUGUUAAUAUUCAAUGACCAAAAUUUUUUAUUUCAAAUAGUUUAGUGACCAGAAUAGAAAAAAAAUUAAAAGUUUGAUGACCAAAAUAGAACGCGGAUAAUAAUUUAAUGAUAUUUUUAUACUUUAUCUGUUUUUUAUGAUUAUUUAUACAUAUCAAGUGGAGCUAAUUUAGGGAAAAGAAUCAAUGGUUAAGGUUGUUGUUGAUACUUAAUGAUCAGGGUCCAAAUUUUGCUAAUGUAAUUUUCCUUAUCAUAAUUUGUAUCUUAAUUUUGUUACCAAAAAAAUAUUAGUAAUAAAUAAUAUAUGCUCGAGAAAUGUACGUAUGAUUGAUUUAAACAAUACAUGUUGGAGUAAUUUACAUAUGGAUUUAAAAUAAAUUUUAAAAAUAAAAUAAAAUUUUAAAAAUCCAAAAGUAUUUUUUCUUUUAAAAAAAUUUAAAAAUAAUUUUUAAAUUAUUUACAUGAUUGAUUUAAAGGAUUUCUUUCUAUUAAUUAUUUUUAUAUUAAAUUUAUUUUCCUUUAUGUAUAACAUUUAAAGGGUUUGUAUAUAUGCUAACUCGCGAGUCAAUUAAAAUUUGUAUUAUAUUCAUUGAAUUUUUUUAAAAUAUAUAUUUUAUUAAUUUAUUUAUUUAUUUGAGACCCAUGAUAAACUUGUAUUUAAAGUUAUUGGUGCACACUAUAAAUUCAUAUAUUGAAAAUGAUAGGUGCUAAAAGUAACAUGUUUUAGUCUCAUUCUUAAUGUGUUUUUGGAUGAUUAUUCGAUAUAAAAUGGUUAAUUUUAUGCUACUAAACUUUUCAAUUUACGUUCUACACUUAAUAGAGCAUUUAGGAGCAAAAGAAGCGAAAAACGAGCGAAAAUAAAAAAAAUAGGAGCAAGUCUCAAAAGCCACACAGGCUGAGCCAUUCCACACGGGUUGGACACAUAACCGAGUGAGCCACACGACCAUGUGCUAGACUGUGUGGAAAUCGCAAAUUACACUCCAAACGGCGUGAAAACACGUUAAUUUUAAGGUUUUUUAAGCAUUUUAAUACCUAUACAUGACAAAGAUAAGAAGAGGGGAGAGAGUCGUCAGAAAAUAUUAAAGAAAACAACUUAAAAAACACCAUUGAAGCUAACUUUGAAGCAAAUUUUCAUCAAGAUUGAAGAUCUCAUUUUGAUUUUUUUGAAGUUUAUUAUGAGUUUCUUUAUUUAUUGUAGUUAUACUGUCUUUAGGAUGUUUUUAUUUGCUAUCAUGAACGAAUUUUCUAAAUACCUAGGGAGAUGAAUCCUAUCAUGAAUUAUGUUAUUUGAUUUCUAUUUUUACGUAAUAAAGACUUAGAUCUUAUUCUCAAUUAUGUGUGCUUAAUUCUUGGUUUAAUAUUUCUAGACUAUUAAUCAAUGUUUGAUGUGCUUAAAUCAGAGGAGGAAUAAACCCUAUUUAAGAGUAGAUCUAGCGUAAAUGAGUGGAGUUGCAUGCAAUCCUAGAAAUAGGACAACAUAAAUCUACCGUAAUAGAUCCAAAUCUAAUAGGGGAAUCUAUAGAUCGAGUUAAUACGAUGAUAGAGGUUUUAAUUAGAAAUAAAUUUCAGUUAAUUAACCUAGAGUCAGUUACUCUUAGUCUUGAAGAGAUAUAUUAGCAUAAUUUAGGGAUUUUUACAGAUCAAUAUUCUAAGUGACGAAGUUGUGUAAUAUAGAUUGAUAAUGACAUAUGAAGUCUAGGUAGAUUCUUUCCUAGGUAUUGUCUCGCUCUUGGUUAUUAUUUGAUUAUUUUCUUGAUUUGUGCUUUGUUGUGUUAUUUAGUUAACUAAUUUAGUUAAUUUUAGUUCCAACCAAUCACUCCAAUUUAUCAGUUAAAUAAUAGAAAAGACGGUAAUUACUGGUACUUUUAGUCUUUGUGAAAACGAUAUCUUUGCUCACUAUAACUAUACUAUUAAUUGAUGUGCACUUGUCUGAGUUAGAUUUUUAGUUGGUUUACGACUGCAAUCAAAAAACUCAUUAAGUUAGCACAAACUAAGUUAAUUAUUCGUUGGUUGCUUUAUUUUUUUUCCUGAAGUUUCGAUUUCAUCUUUCAUUAUGUACAACAAUUUUGGUAUAAAAAUAUCAAAUUCUCGACACUUAAUAUAUACCUUUGAAAUAUAAACACAUGCAUCAAUUUUUUUAGGUUCCUCACAACUUACUUGUCCAAAAUUCUUGUAUCUUUCAGUUCUCCUGAUUGAAUCAAAAUUUGACUUUGUAAUUAUUUUUUAAGGACCUCAAACUAUCAAUUUAUAGUAUAAAUUUUCAAUAGCUUUCAUUCUUUACAAAUUGGUCCCUAAUUAAUCAACAAUGGUAUUAAAGCUUAAGCUUAGGGUCCCGUUGUUUCACUGAAAAUGGCUUUCGAAAAAUAAUUUCUAGAAAAUGACUUACUUUCCUAGAAAAGUUAAUAUUUUCUGAUGUUUGGAUGAAUCAGUGUAAAAUAUUUUAUAUUGUUUGACAAAUUUCUUAAAAAUAUUUCAUAAAAGCUGUUUUCAAUGAAACAAACAUGCAUUUGAGAUUUUCUUAUCUUUUCAUUGUUUAAUUAAGUUUAUCUUAUAUCUAUAAAUUUAUAUUUUACAUUUUUUUGCAUAUAAUAAAAAUAUAUAUUUUUUAAUUCAGGUUCACUACCAUGUCACUUUUUAGUUACAUGACUACCAAGUGAGUAUUUUUUUUAUUUAAAAAUGUGACAUCAACAAAAUUGACAAAAAAAAAAUUUAGCAAUGUCAACAAUUGGACUUGAUUUUCAAAUCUGAAAAGUAGAGGGACUAAAUUCUUGAAAAUAAAAGUAUAGAGACUAAAUUGAAAAUUUGUGAAGAAUACAUAGACUUAUCACAUUUUUUAACUUUUAUACUACAAAAUAUUUAUCAUUAAUAUAUUUAUAAUUAUAAUAAAUAUUUAUUAUUAAAAUAUUAAUAUUAAAUAUUUUCAAUAAGAAGAAUAUUAUUUAAAAUUAUUUUUUUUAAUUUUUUAUUAAAAUAAAAUUGAAAUAUUAAAUAAUUUAUUAAAAUAAUUAAUUUUAUUAAUAAUUAAUUUUAUGACUAAAUAUAAAUAAUUAAAUAUGUGUGUUUAAUAAUAUUGAAAUAUAUAAUAUUUUAUAUUAAUAUUUUAAAUAUUUUUAAAAAUAAAAAUAAAAUUUAUUUUCAAUAUAAUAAUAUUAAUAUUGAUUUAAAUGAAUUUUUAUAUAAAAAUAAAAUUACCUAUAGAUGAGCUCUUUUCCAGAAAAUGACUUACACUUUUCAAAAGGAUAAGUCAUUUUAUAGGAAAAAGAGUUCAAUUUUACAUUGACCUGUAAGUCAUUUUCCGAUGACCAAAAUGUUUUCUGUAAAAUAAACAUAAGAAAAUGAAGAAAAUAUUUUCCGUAAAACCUUUUACAUGUAAACAAACGGACCCUUAAUUCAAGCUUGUUCUAACAUAACCCACUUCACUAUUAGCAUGACUCUUCCUUAUACUAUGUUUAACCAUUAACCCUUCUCAUGAUUUCUAACAAAAAUUCUCUAAGUUCUCUUUAAUGGAAACUUCUAUUAGCUUCAACAAUAAGAAAUUCUAACCAUUGGGUUGGUUGUAUCAAGUUUCAUAGUUUAAAAAACUAUAAAAAAAUUAUUUAGAAAACAAUUUGUUUACCUUUGAUGGCCUUGAUGGAGAACAACUUGGUUUCUUCUUCUACUUAGUUUAAAGAAUGCAUGAAGAAGAAGAAGAUUUCCCCUCUCCCUCUAUCUUAAAUAUAUAUAUAAAUAACCUAUUAAUCAAGGUAAUUAACUCACUAAUUAAUCUUAAUUAGUUAUGAUCUAAUGGCCAUAAACUUACCAUAAGAAAAUUAGUGGAAAUGUGUGGCAUUGAUAAUGGUUUGCCAAUAAUCAAACUUCGGGCAUGGUAAUAUUGCAAUCAGGUCCUUGGUUUAAUUACACUUUAAGUACUUGCUAAAUUCUCUAAUCAAUUCCCACUAGUUGGAUCACUUGAACAAUUGGGUCCAUGUAUUAUAGUUACAACUUAUCUAAUUUAAUCAAUUAAUGAUUUGACUUUAUAAUUUCAUGUGCAACACACAAACUCCUCCGGUAAAUUCUCAAGCUAGCUUUAUUUAAAAAUUUGGCCUCAAAACCAGCUUUCCAAAUGUUCAUGAAAAUUGAGUUGUUACAUUAUGGUAUUUGUUUUGUUCAGCUUAUUUGUCAAGCUCUAUUCCUUUGAACUUAUGUUCGUUGACUUUGGUGUUGCUUAAAUGAAAAUGUGGUGAACAAUAUUAUGGAUAGGAGGAGUGUAUGAUUGAGUAUGUGUAACACCCCUAACCCACAUCCUUCGCCAAAUUAAAGUGACAGAGUGUUAUUAUUCAAAACAGAACAUUCCAUGACAACACAUAAACAAUUAUGCAAAUUAUCACAAUCAUUAAUUAACCAUAUUAAAAUAUAACAUAAGUAUCCAUACGACCUUUAAAUCGAGCUUAUAUGGCCUUAAAAAUAGCUUGGGAUCAAUCUAGGAUCAAUUUGGAACAUAACAUAAAUUUUAAGAAAAAUCUAAAAAUUUUGGGAAACAUGGGUCACACAACCGUAUGUCCAGGCCGUGUGACAUAGCCCAGACCUUGUGGGAAUUCAAAAUCAGGACACUCAAUCAUGUCCUAGCCCGUAUGUCUACCUGUGUGAAUAUUUGAAAUAGGGUCCCACAGUCGUGUCGCGGCCAUGUGCUAAACCGUGUAUAUAUUCAAAUUAUGAACACAUGGCCGUGUCGCAAGCCAUGUGCUAGACCGUGCUCAAAACUAUUUUGAGACACACAGCUGUGCCUUAGGCUGUGUGAAAUUUUCACUUUAGACAACGACACACAGCCGUGUGCCAGACCAUGUACACCAAAAUGUACCUUAAAAAUCAAAUUUACCAAAACAUGUUUACUUAGGCAUCAAGCAACCUAAUUACCAUCAAUCAAACUCAUUCAAAACACAAUUAAACAGGUUCAAAACAUCCAUCCUAAGUGCCUAGCCAUUGUGCCCUCAUUGACAUCAUAAUUCAAUAAUCAAAUCAAUCACAUUUAAACCAAGAUUUAAACAUUCAAAUUAUAAAAUCAUCAUUAACCAUUCAUACCAAAACACUGAUCAUUUCAAGUCAUAAACACCUAGCAAUAUUCACAUACUUUAUAAAGCUUAACUACCAAUACCAAAUAAGAUCCAUACACACAUACAUACCAAACAAAACACAUAUUCACAAGUAUCAUUCAAGAUUUACAACUUUACAUGUAAUUAACAUAAUUUCAAGUCAAUUAUUACAUGUCAUACAACCCAAAACAAACACUAAACAAACUACCAAUAGUUUCUCGAAUAGUGUGAUUCUUGAAAUCAAAUUGAUCACCCGAAGCGUCAAAAAUAAAUCUACAAGAAAGCAUUGGAAGAGACACAAGAGUAAGCUUACUUAAGCUUAGUAAUUUCCAUGGAUUUAAACAAUCAACUUACCGGAUAAACUUAUCUAAUAUAGAGUAUAGAAAAGUCAUAAAUCAUAAUCAUGUCAUCCAUAAUCAGAUCACGAGUGAGUCUUAAACUUAAAUAUGAAUGAAUUAAUUCAAUCAAUUACAUUAUAUCACUAAAUUAUACCCGAUGAACGUUGCAAUGGAUUUGGAUACACAGUUAACCAACCAAACACUCCAAAUCACUCAAAUGAGCUAGCCAUCUGAAAGUACACAUGGGCACCAAGUGCCAAGCCCAUAGGCUAACAUCCCUCCGAAACACACCUUGUCACCAAGUGCCAAGCCCGUAAGCUUUACAUCUGCCCCAGAAACACACCUGAAGCACUGCAAUAUAACGUAAUAGUUCGCAACAAAUGUUGAACUUCAAUAUAUUCAAUAAACAUGAAUAAGAUCAGAAUCAUCAUCUCCACAUCCACCAAUCUCGUAAAGCGCACGAUAUAACUUAUUGACAUGCCAAUUGUAUCCUAUCAUACAUUCAUCGGCUCACAUAUUUGUCAUUUAACAACAUUUAAUACAAUUUCUUUCCCAAAUCAUUUCACUUACCACAAUUCAAUACUUCCAUGUCAUUUAAUAAUUUCAAUCCACAAGUAAUUAAAUAUUUAAAUUAUACUAAAAUUAAACUGUACAAACUCACUAGGGCCAAAUUGCAGAAACAACAAAAGUUCAGGGACUAAUCAACAACCUUCCCUUUUUCCACAAUUAUCAACUUGAUCUUGAUCUAUAAUAUAAUUUAUUUCAAUUAUUAGCCUCAAUUUUCAUAUUCUAAUCAUUUCAAAACAUAUGAUCUCUUAUUUAUAAAUUUACACAUUUAUCCCAAAUUUUUACAUAUUAUACAAUUUAAUCCCUAUGACCAAAUCAAGCUUAGUUCUACAAUUAAAUUCUCAAUCCAUAGAACUAAAUUUUAACCACAUCCAAAACAAUCCAUAUAUGCUAAAAUUUUCAAGAGUAACAUGUCUAUUUCAGUUAAAUCACUAAACAUCAAAUUUUGUAAAAAUCACUUACAAACUCAAUACAUAUGGUCACCAAGCUUCAACCCAAACUAUUUACUACUACAAAUCUUCGAAAAUUUCAAUACAUAAUUUCUAUACUUUGAUAACUUCACAAAUAAACUCCAAAACUAGCUAAAUUCCAUUAUCAAUAGCUCAAAACUUAAAAUUUGAUGAUGAAUAAACCAAGAAAAUACUUACAUGCAUUAAAAACUAACAAAAACCAAGAUCCAAGCCUUAGAACAAUGGUGUUUCGGCCAAACCUAAGAAAAAUAAAGAAGAUGACCACUACCCCACUUUUGUUUUACUUUCCUUUUAUUAUUAUAAUAAUCUUUAUUUAUGAAAUUAUAACAUUAUAAAACACCAAUUUAAUUUUUUUUCUCUCUUUACCGCCCAUAUUAACUAACUAUGGGCUAAUGGCAACAUAACCUCCCUUAGUUUACUAAUUUAAGCUAUUAUAUUAAAAUAAAUCUAUAAUAAGCAACUUUUCCACCUAUUACAUAUUAAUCUUUUUUCUUUAAUCAAUUCACUAUACGUUAAAUUUUCUAAACCAAAACUUAAUACGACACUGAUGACUUUGUAAAUAUUAAAUAAUUAAUAAUUCUAGACUGACACGUCGAAAGUGUAGUCCUAAAACUAUUAUUUUCGACACCACUGGAAAUCGAACUGUUAUAGUAUGAUUCUACCUCUUAGGGGGAGACGUAUUCUAGUUUCCUUUGACUUGUUUAGAUGAUGUGUUAAUCAUUUGCUACUGGUUUUGUCAAAAUGCCAAAUGGUGAGAUUGUUUCAAACUUUGUUCAUGUUCGAACAUUAGAUUAAACAAUGCUUAAUUUGAUGCAUUCAAAGAAUUUAUGUUGGCAUGUUUGACUUUAUAAUGAAAUGGCUUAUGAUUUAAUCUCGUUGAGUAGCAAAUGGGGAAGUGAUUUUGUGUUAUAACAUGUGAUGAUCAUUAUCUUUCAAUCAACUACCUUGAAGAAGAAUGGGAGGAGUUUGAACUUUUGUGGACUUUCGUAAUAUUUGAAGCUGCUAAGAUACUUGUUUAUAAAGACUUUUAUGAUAUAACUAAUCAAAAUAAUUCAUGUCAGAAUUUUUGGAGUUUUAAACUUAUGAAGACUCUAGUAUUGGCCUAUAAAUAGGCAUAAUUACCGCACAUUGAAAAUAGGCUUUUGGAGGGUUUAAGUUGGAUGCUUUGGUGAAUUUUUCCUGUGUUUUAUACAACACUCUUUUUUAAGUUUUUAUUGGGGGAUAUUUGCUUGAUUGUAAGUGAGAUAUUUUGGAGAGAGUGAUUUGUAAUAAUUUAGGUUCAAUAUUGAAGUUGCAAAUAACUACAAGGUAAUGGUAAUUUGGACUCUAGUCAAUAGUUAAUCAAGACGAAUUGUAAAUAAAAAUUAUUUUUUAAGUGAAACUUUACAGAAUAAAACUAGUGAACUCAAACUACGCUAACAAAUAUUAUAUACUAUCUUUCCUUACUUUACUCGUUGCUUUACCUUAUUUUAAAAUUGCUUUGUCAUAAAUGUAUUAUGUUUGACCCUUUCCGAUCGAAAUAAAAAAAUGAGAUUGAAAUUGUGAUAAAGCUAAAAAAAAGUUACAACAAAUAUGAUUAAUAUUAUUUUUAUAUAUACUUACUAAAAUUUAAAAAGGAAUUACAUUUAUCGAAUAUUAUUUUAUUUAAUAAAUAUAAUUAAUAUAUUUUAUAUAAAAUUUAAACUUUUUAUUAUUUGUUAGCUAAAUUUUAUUAUUUUUAUUUUCUUUAUGAAUAAAAUUAAUUUUCCUAAAAUUUGAGAUAAAAAAAUGUUAUAUAGAAAAUUAAAUUAGUAAAAAGUGCAGUUCAUACUUUAUAAUUAUUAUAAAUGAAAAAAUAUUAUAAAAGAUAAAUAUUAAACAUAAAAAAAUCAAUUCUAAAAUAAACUUAACUAUUAUAAUAAAAUAUUUUUAUAUAAAAAAGAAAUUAUAGAAAAGACUUACUGAUUAUAUUUCCAAUUUUCGACAUUCAUAAAAAAAAAGUGGUCCUAAUAAUUUAUUUAUACAAAAAAAAAAGUGGUCCUAUUAAUUAACCUCACAUUUGAAAUGUGUUAUAUGUAAUAAUAUUAAUAUCUUUAUCAAUUUUGGAGGUUCAUCCUUUCCCAUCUCUAUAAAUUCGCAUGGAGAAAUAAAGCAAUACAUCAACACAAUCUGUAUAACCAUGAAAACCACAACAGCUUCAGUGUUUCUUCUUUUCAUCAUCUUCUCAGUCACACCAUCAUCCUUUUUGUUUGGUGUAGCCAACGCUACAAACGAACCUGUACUCGACUUUGAUGGCAACGAGGUUCAAACAGGCACCCCAUAUUACGUUGUGUCGUACAUAUGGGGUGCUGGUGGUGGGGGGCUUGACCUAGGCAGGCCUAGUGGAAACCCAUGCCCGGAAGUCGUUGCUCAAAGAGGAUCCGGUGACAAUGGUAUUCCGGUGAUAUUUUCUAAUUCGGACUCCAACGAUGGCGUUGUUCGCCUAUCCUCUGACAUAAACAUAGAGUUCAUUUCCCUCAGACCCAAACUUUGCCGAACAACAACAGUGUGGAAGGUCGAUGAUUACGACCAUUCAGCCGGAAAAUGGUGGGUGAUAACCGAUGGGGUUAAAGGGAACCCAGGUGCCAACACUUUGACCAGUUGGUUUAGAAUAGAGAAGGUGGGUACUGAUUUUCAAUAUUACACAUUUAAGUACUGCCCCGCAGUAUGUGGAACAUGCCCAGCCUUAUGCAACCAAAUUGUGAGAGACUUUGAUGGAGAAAUGGUACGUUUGGCUCUCACCACUGGCCAUGGAUGGCCAUUUAUCUUUAAGAAAGUUGGAAAAUCAGCCAUGGAGAUUGAACAAGUUGUUCAUAAUUAGAUUGAAAGCAAUCAUUAUGCAUGAACUAGUAGUUACUACAUAAUAUUAGCUUCAAGUAAAUAAUGCUGAGGGAACUUAUUGUUAAGAUUGCCUUGUUUGAAGCGGCAGCAUGUAUAUAUAUAUGCUUGCUUACAAGGUUUGUCUCUCAGAGUCCUCCUCUUUGUACUCUUUUCAGCUUAAUGAAUAAACUGUUUACUUAUUUACUUCUUUUGUUGCCAUUGAUUCUAGUAGCAUUCGACUCAUUAACUUGGAUACAUUACCUUGUAAUUAACCAAAAAGUUAUGUGUAUAUAUAUAAAGAGUGUGUGAGAGAAAAAAUAGAAUACCAAGUACCAAGUGAAAAAUGUUAAUACUAGGAUUAUUCAAAGCGAUUUCAAUGAACAGAAAUGGAAUAGUCGUCGGGUGGUUAGGGCAUUUUAUCUUUAGAGAUAAAGAAGGUUGGUUCAUGUUCGGAGUUUGUGGCUACUCCUUCAAUAAUAUCGUUUUUAAAGUUUAAACUUGUAUCACAUUUUAAACACGUAAUGUAUCUUACCAUUACAUCCAACAAUAUUAACCAUUUACUCUAUUGUAUUGUAUUGUAUUCUAUUAUUAAUUAAUGAUUAUGAUAUGUAUUAAGUUUAAGAUGAAUUUUCUCAGUAAUAUAUAUCAAUGGAAUCAAAUAUUUGUAUUUAAAGUUUUAACUCCACAUUAACUUUUUCUUUAUUUUGUCCGUUUGCUGGCGAUGAUUAGGAGAUUAAUGGUUGGUAUUUGUGGUUAGUAGGUUAUAACUCAAUAGUGAACUCGAGGGUUGAUAGUGGCCCGACUCCACUUAAAUAAAAAAUUUUACAUUUAAAUCUCUUUAUAAUUUAUAAAAUUUUAAAUUAAUAAUAAAAAAAUUAUAUUUUAACUCUCUAAAAUUAAUAAAAAUGAUAAAAAUGUAGAAGUAAAUUUAUACAAUUAAUGAUAAUAAUGAUAAGAAGUUGUUUCCUGUCACAUGGAAAUUUAUGGCAUCGUCCAUUUGGUUUUAUAUUUGUCCAUUUGCUUGGUUAAGAGUUGAAAGACAAACUAUAAUUAAGUAUACAAAACCAAACGAAUUUCAAGGGUUUUCUCUUCAAUUAUUGUCGAAUUUAGCUAAUUAUUAGUAAUUUUUAUUAUUUAAUUAUAAAAAUUAUAAAAUAAUGACUUAAUUAUAAGAAUUAUAAAAUAGUGACUUAAUUAUAAAAAUAUAUAUAAAUAGCCAUCUAAUUAUUUAAUUUUUUUUCUUUUUUAUCAUCACCGGAUUAAUGGUGGUAAUUUUUAUAAUUGACAUAAUAGUAACUUUAACCAUUAAUAAUUAUACAUUAUGUCAAUUUAGUCUUGAUUCUAAAAAAUUUAACCUUUGACAUUUACACAUAUAUAAUUUGACAUUUUUAUAAUUUUAUUUUUUACUAAAAAUAAAUCAUGAAAAUAAUAAAAUAUGCAUAAAAAUAAAAAUACAGCUACCGAGUAUAUGUCUUAAUGUAGAUUUAUAACAAUUAUCUUUUCAUAAAGAUAUUUUAUUAUAAAAUAUAUAAUAAGCACUUCCCUGUAACAAAUAAAAUUGUAGUAAACAAAUGAAAUUAUUAUAAAGAAGAAUUUUCUAUUUUCAUAAUAAUAAUAAUAAUAAUAAUAAUAAAAGAAAAGAAAAAAGUGGUUCUAUUAAUUCACCUCACAUUUGAAAUGUGUUAUAUGUAAUAAUAUUAAUGUCUUUAUCAAUUUUGGUGGUUCAUCCUUUCCCAUCUCUAUAAACACUACACCAGAAUAGGUUUUUAGCGGCGUUUUUUAGGCCUUUAGCGACGCUUAUUAACGCCACUAAAUCUAUUUCCGGCACUUACAAAAAAAAGCCGCUAAAGAUCAUGUUCUUUAGCGGCGCUUAGGAAAAAACGCCGCAAAAAAUCAUGUUCUUUAGCGGCGCUUAGAAAAAAACGCCGCUAAAGAUCAUGUUCUUUAACGGCGCUUAGAAAAAAACGCCGCUAAAGAUCAUGUUCUUUAGCGGCGCUUUGGAAGAAAACACCUCUAAAAGUAAUGUUCUAUAGCGGCGCUUGUUCAAAAACGCCGCUAAAAGUAGUGUUCUUUAGCGUCGCUUGUUUCACAAACGCCACUGUUUUGAUAUGACUUUUAGCGGCGCUUUUUUAAAAAAUGUCACUAAUUUUGGGAUUUUUUUAAAAUAAAAUUUUCUGUUUUUUUCAGCCCUCCUGCAACAACAAAUCAAAAGCAACCAGAUCUAAACUAACCAAAAAUAAUAAAUUUAUAUAAUAUUUCAAAUUAAAUGAAUAAAAUAAUAUUAAUUGAUAUAAAUAAAAGUGAAUUUCAGACUUUUCUUUACAAAAACGUUAAAAGUAUUUAUGCAACAUACACUAUGACGGCGGAAGUUGCGACUGCUGAAACAUCUUCAUCAUAAUCUAAAGCUGCUGUUGAAGUUCGUCGUACUUUUUGCUCUACUUUGCUUCUCUCGAUGCCGCAUCUUUUUGAAGCCGUAGCUGUAGUUCUUCACAUUUCUUUUGAACCUCUGCUUCUAUCGCUGCUUAUCUCGCUACGGCAUCUGCUUCCCUCACUGCUGCCUCUGAUUUAAGUUGUUGCUGAAGUUCUUCAUAUUUCCUUUGAACCUCAAAUGUGGUCGCUUGCAUCUGAGUCAUCUAGUCUUUUAACCUCUGAACUUCAGCUUGAGACUGACUCCCCGAAGCCAUGUAUUGGUGCGAGCUGGAUCCAAAAUAUUGGGUUGGGCUGAUAAAAGAUCCUUGAAAUCGAACCCGACCAUACUUUUCAGGACCCAAAACUUUAGUAAUAAUCCGGUUAUCAAUGUCUUCAAGAUGAAUAGAACUAUCACUAGAAGCAAUCGUUUCGUACUCUGUCUUUUUUUCCUUCAGUUUUUCCUAAUAAAUAAAUCACAUAGUUAGGAACGCAAUAUAUAGUAAAAAAAACAAAUGCAAUAUAACAAUAGUCGCAUUACAAGCAAUGAAUUAAACCAUUAGAAAAUAAACACUAUAAAUAACUAAAACAAGUGAAAUCGUAUUAAGUAAACGUACCAUAAUUUCACCAGCUUCAGGAGUCAUAGCAGAUCCAUCUUUCUUCUUAUGUGUAAUUUCAAAAAGUUGAAGGCGUCCAACUUUUUGAUCGGACGACCGUUCCUACAACACUCUUUUUUAAGUUUUUAUUGGGGGAUAUUUGCUUGAUGUAAGUGAGAUAUUUUGGAGAGAGUGAUUUGUAAUAAUUUAGGUUCAAUAUUGAAGUUGCAAAUAACUAUAAGGUAAUGGUAAUUUAGACUUUAGUCAAUAGUUAAUCAAGACGAAUUGUAAAUAAAAAUUAUUUUUUAAGCGAAACUCUACAGAAUAAAACUAGUGAACUCAAACUACUGAACUCAAACUACGCUAACAAAUAUUACAUAUUAUCUUUCCUUACUUUACUUGUUGCUUUACCUUAUUUUAAAAUUGUUUUGUCAUAAAUGUAUUAUGUUUGAACCUUUCCGAUCGAAAUAAAAAAAAUGAGAUUGAAAUUGUGAUAAAGCUAAAAAAAGGUUACAACAAAUAUGAUUAAUAUUAUUUUUAUAUAUACUUAAUAAAAGUUAAAAAGGGAAUUACAUUUAUUGAAUAUUAUUUUAUUUAAUAAAAUAUAAUUACUAUAUUUUAUAUAAAAUUUAAAUAUUUUAUUGUUUGUUAGUUAAAUUUUAUUUUUUUUUAUUUUCUUUAUGAAUAAAAUUAAUUUUCCUAAAAUUUGAGAUAAAAAAUGUUAUAUAGAAAAUUAAAUUAGUAAAAAGUUAAAAAAAUCAAUUCUAAAAUAAACUUAACUAUUAUAAUAAAAUAUUUUUAUAUAAAAAAAAAGAAAUUAUAGAAAAGACUUAUUGAAUAUAUUUCCUAUUUUCGACAUUCAUAAAAAAAAAAAAGUGGUCCUAAUAAUUUUUUUAUACAAAACAAAAAAAAGUGGUCCUAUUAAUUUACCUCACAUUUGAAAUGUGUUAUAUGUAAUAAUAUUAAUAUCUUUAUCAAUUUUGGAGGUUCAUCCUUUCCCAUCUCUAUAAAUUUGCAUGCAGAACUAAAGCAACACAUAUCAACACAAUCUGUAUAACCAUGAAAACCACAACAGCUUCGGUGUUUCUUCUUUUCAUCAUCUUCUCAAUCACACCAUUGUCCUUUUCGUUUGGUGUGGCCAACACUUCAAACGCUCCUGUGCUCGACAGUGAUGGCAACGAGCUCCGCACAGGCACCCCAUACUUCGUUGUGUCGUCGAUAUGGGGUGCUGGUGGUGGGGGGCUUGCCCUAGGCAUGCCUAGAGGAAAGCCAUGCCCGGAAGUCGUUGCUCAAAGAGGAUCUGGUGACGAUGGUAUUCCGGUGAUAUUUUCUAAUUCGGACUCCAACGAUGGCGUUGUUCGCCUAUCCUCUGACAUAAACAUAGAGUUCAUUCCCCUCAGACCCAGAUUUUGCCAAACAACAACGGUGUGGAAGGUCGAUGAUUACGACCACUCAGCCGGAAAAUGGUGGGUGAUAACCGAUGGGGUUAAAGGGAACCCAGGUGCCAACACUUUGACCAGUUGGUUUAGAAUAGAGAAGGCGAGUCAUCUUGAUUACACAUUUAAGUACUGCCCCGCAGUAUGUGGAACAUGCCCGGCUUUAUGCAACAAAAUUGCGAGAGACUUAGAUGGAGAAAUGAUGCGUUUGGCUCUCUCCACUGACCAUGGAUGGCCAUUUUUCUUUAAGAAACUUCAAACAUCAGCCAUGGAGAUUGAACAAGUUGUUCAUAAUUAGAUUGAAAGCAAUCAUUAUGCAUGAACUAGUAGUUACUAUACAAUAUUAGCUUCAAGUAAAUAAUGCUGAGAGAACUGAUUGUUAAGAUUGCCUUGUUUGAAGCAGAAGCAUGCAUAUAUAUAUGCUUGCCUACAAGGUUUGUCUCUCAGAAUCCUCUUUGUACUCUUUUCAGCUUAAUAUAUAAACUGUCUACUUAUUUACUUCUUUUAUUAAUGUCAUUGAUUCUAGUAGUAUUAGACUCAUUAACUUGGAUACAUUGUCUUGUAAUUAACCCAAAAAUUAUAUAUAUAUCAAAAAAAAAAAUGAGAGUGAGAGAGGAAAAUAGACUACCAAGUAACAAGUGAAAAAUGGUAAUACUAGGGUUAUUUAGAGUGGUUUCAAUGCACAACCGGAAUGAAUUGUUACCUUAUCUUUAGAGUCAAAGAAGGGUUCGUGACUAGUCUUUCAACAAUACUAUUUUCAAGGUUCAAACCUGCAUUAUCCUUUAAAUACGUAAUGUAUUUUAUCAUUACGCUCAAUAUUAUUAGUGAUUUACUUUAUUCUAUUCUUAAUUAAUAAUUAUGAUAUAUAUAAAGUUUAAGAUGGAUUUUCUUAUUUAUGUAUAUCAAUUAAAUCAAAUAUUUGUAUUUAAAGUUUUAACCCAACAUUAACUUUUUUUUUAAAAAUUUCUUCGUUUGUUGGUGGUGAUUAGGAGAUUGAUGGCCGGUCUUUGUGAUUGGUAGCUUUUAACACAAUGGCGAAGCUAAGGAGGCUUUAAAUGUUUAAAUGAAUAUUUUUUUCAAUUGAAAUUUCUUUAUAAUUUAUAAAAUUUUAAAUUAAUAAUGAUAAAAUUACAUUUUAAUUUUUUAAAAAUGAUAAAAACGUGGAAGCACAUUUGUACGAUUAAUAAUAAUGAUAAUAUUUUUCCUACCACAUGGAAGUUUAUGGAAACACCAUUGGGUUUUGUAUUUAUGUUUUAUUCGACACUCUUAUAAGUUUUACUGGGGAGAUUUGUUUGAUUGUAAGUGAGGUAUUUUGCGGAGAGUGAUUUAUAAUAAUUUAAAAUUAAUAUUGGGGUUACAAAUAACUAUGGGAGUAAAGUAGUUUAGACUUUAGCUAAUAAUUGAUCAAGAUGGAUUGUAGAAUAAAAUCAUUUUCGAAGCAAAAUUUUAUAAAAUUAGUAAAUCUGAAUUAUUCUAUAAUAUUGAUAUUAUCUUUCUUCACUUUAGCCCUUGCUUCACCUUAUCUCAAAAUUAUUCUAUAAUAAUCUAUUUUGUCUCAACCUUUUCAACAGAAUUUAAAAUGAAACUAUUUCUAUGAAGUGCAAACCAAAAACUUUUUCACAUACCAAUAAAUGGCAAGCAACCAUACCGUGGGCCCAAUGUCCCAACAAUCAUCUAAACAUUUUUUUUUUCUUUUUUAAAUAAUAUGUAAUAAUUUAUAUACCAUAAAUGAAUAUUAAUUAAAAUAAUAUAAACAAAAUACGACUCUUUAAUAUAAUAUGGAUCCAAAAUGUUUCAUAUUUGAAAUGCAGUUUUUGAUAAUUUCACAUUUCAUAUUUUAUCUUAGAACAAAAAGAAAAUUUGAACUUAAUAUUUGGACUAUUGAUCAAUGGUGUUUAUUAUAUUUCAAGACUAUCAGAUUAAUCUGUCGAUACUACUUAUAUGGUAUGGUUUAAAUGGGUGUGUGUGGAUAUAGAAAUUUGAAAUUCUAUUGUAUCAAAGAAAUUUUUUUUAAAAAUAAAAUAAAAAGGAAUUUGAAAUUUAAAAUUUGAGAUCAAAAUAAAAAAAAUGAGACUUGUUAUAAACCAUAAGGCUCAAAAAAGGUUACAACAAAUAUGGUUAAUAUUAUUUUUAUAUAUACUUAAUAAAAGUUUAAAAUAUCAAAUUUGUAAUAUUAUUUUUAUUUAAUAAAAUAUAAUUAAUAUAUUUUAUAUAAAAUUUAAAUAUUUUAUUGAAAUAUUAUGUUAGGUAAAUUUUAUUAAUUUUAUUUUCUUUAUAAAUAAAAUUAAUUUUAUUAAAAUUUGAGAUAAGAUAAUUAAAUUAAUAAAAGGUAUACUUCAUAUUUUAUAGUUAUUAUAAAUAAAAAAUUAUUAUAAAAAUUAAAAAAAAAGAAUUCUACAACAUAAUGAAAUAUUUUUAUUAAAAAAAACAGAAAUGAUUGAUGGAAUAUAUUUCCAAUUUUCGACGUUCAUUAAAAAAAAAAGAGUGGUCCUAAUAAUUGAUUUAUUGGGGAAAAAAAAGUGGUCCUACUAAUUUACCUCACAUUUGAAAUGUGUUAUAUGUAAUAAUAUUAAUAUCUUUAUCAAUUUUGGAGGUUCAUCCUUUCCCAUCUCUAUAAAUUCGCAUCGAGAAAUAAAGCAAUACAUCAACGCAAUCUGUAUAACCAUGAAAACCACAACAGCUUCAGUGUUUCUUCUUUUCAUCAUCUUCUCAGUCACACCAUCAUCUUUUUUGUUUGGUGUAGCCAACGCUACAAACGAACCUGUACUCGACAUUGAUGGCAACGAGGUUCAAACAGGCACCCCAUAUUACGUUGUGUCGUCCAUAUGGGGUGCUGGUGGUGGGGGGCUUGCCCUAGGCAGGCCUAGCGGAAACCCAUGCCCGGAAGUCGUUGCUCAAAGACGAUCCGGUGACGAUGGUAUUCCGGUGAUAUUUUCUAAUUCGGACUCCAACGAUGGCGUUGUUCGCCUAUCCUCUGACAUAAACAUAGAGUUCAUUCCCCUCAGACCCAAACUUUGCCGAACAACAACGGUGUGGAAGGUCGAUGAUUACGACCAUUCAGCCGGAAAAUGGUGGGUGAUAACGGAUGGGGUUAAAGGGAACCCGGGUGCCAACACUUUGACCAGUUGGUUUAGGAUAGAGAAGGCGGGUGAUCUUGAUUACACAUUUAAGUACUGCCCUGCAGUAUGUGGAACAUGCCCAGCUUUAUGCAACAAAAUUACGAGAGACUCAGAUGGAGAAAUGGUACGUUUGGCUCUCUCCACUGGCAAUGGAUGGCCAUUUUACUUUAAGAAAGUUGGAAAAUCAGCCAUGGAGAUUCAACAAGUUGCUCGUAAUUAGAUUGAAAGCAAUCAUUAUGCAUGAACUAGUAGUUACUACAUAAUAUUAGCUUCAAGUAAAUAAUGCUGAGAGAACUUAUUGUUAAGAUUGCCUUGUUUGAAGCGGCAGCAUGUAUAUAUAUAUAUGCUUGCUUACAAGGUUAAUUUGUCUCUCAGAGUCCUCUUUGUACUCUUUUCAGCUUAAUGAAUAAACUGUUUACUUAUUUACUUCUUUUGUUGCCAUUGAUUCUAGUAGCAUUCGACUCAUUAACUUGGAUACAUUACCUUGUAAUUAACCAAAAAGUUAUGUAUAUAUAUAUAUAUAUCAAAACAAAACAAAAAAGAGAGUGAGAGAGGAAAAUAGACUACCAAGUACCAAGUGAAAAAUGGUAAUACUAAAUUUCCAGAUAUAUGGCAUUGUUUGUGUGUGACAAACACCAAGUAUAAAUAGGUGGAAGUAUGACUACUUAUCAAGAGUGGUAUGGUUCAAAAACUACCCCUAUCGAAUUAUUUCAUCCUACUCAUUCGUUAUCGAUAGGAAGAAGGAUACUUCCAACAAGAAAUAUUUUGAAGGGUUAGUGUUGAGUUAGCUAAAAAUCAAAGUUUAUCAGAAGCUCGAUCUAAAAUUCGCCAAAAGGAGGAUUAUUCAAAGCGAUUUCAAUAGACAACGGGAAUGGAAUAGUCUUUGAGUGGUUAGGGCACCUUAUCUUUUGAGAUAAAGAAGGGUUGGUCCAUGUUUGCAGUUCGUGACUAAUCCUUACAACAAUGUCGUUUUCAAGGAUUGAACAUGUGUCAUCCUUUGAACAUGUAAUGUGUCUUACAAUUACACCUAACAUUGUUGGUGAUUUACUUUAUUAUAUUCUUAAUUAAUAAUUAUGAUAUAUAGUAUGUUUAAGAUGCAUUUUCUUAUUCAUGUAUAUCAAUUGAAUCAAAUAUUUGUAUUUAAAAUUUUAACUCGACAUAUCGAAGGUCUGCUACUCUAGCACGUCUUUGGUCUGCUGCUCUAGCAUGUUUUGGUUUUUUUAGGGUUUUUUUGGCUUAUUUCUCUUUGUUCUAGCGAUGACAGUUCUUGGGAUAGAGUAUUUCUUUUCAAUCUGGUUGAUUUUGAUUCGUGGCAAUGGAGGAUGAAUUGGCAGAGUUAACAUUGGAAGAUGAGGAAUAGGAGAUUUUGCAAGUACAGAAGGAAACUGAUUCUGCGACAGUGGUUUAAGAUCUUUGUCUGGUUGGAUACUUUCUCACAACGAGUGUAAUCCACUUUAUGACAAUGAGAAGCGCGAUGGCAAAUCUAUGGCAUCCUCUUAGAGGAGUUCAGAUCUCUAAUUUGGGGGAUAAGAAAUUAUUUCAAUUUUUUCAUAAAAUGGAUAUUGAUAGGGUACUAAAUGGGGAUCCAUGGACUUUCAAUAAUCAUCUUUUGGUGAUUCAUUUUUUGGAGGAUGGUGAGGAUCCGAUGAAGGUACCGCUAAUCUAUACGACUUUUAAGGUGCAAGUGCAUGAUUUACCCCCAGGGUUUUUUACUGAAUCUAUAGCAAAGAAGUUAGGCAAUUUUAAGGGUAAGUUUUUUGGAUCAAUGGAAAAAGCUUGGGUAAGGGCCUCAGGAAUUUCUUACAUAUACGGGUUUAGAUGGAUGUUAGAUGCUAUUUGAAGCGAAAAAAGAAGAUUAUGUUUUCACUUGGCAAGUGUUCCUAUGUCAACUUGAUAUACGAAUGACUAACUCUAUUCUAUUUUGUCUAUGGUUGUUUGGUAGACAAUGACUCUUUCUGUCAAGUUAGAAUGGCUAAAGGCUUAGAAGUUGUAGAGAUGGGAUGGUAUCUGUCUCUAAAAGCCCAGUCUAGGAGAGCUACUACGAUGAACAGCGUGUGGCUGCGGGAGGAAGGUAAAGGUGAGAUAAAGGGAAAUACCAUAGGACAUUUUGAUUUAGGGUAGGGAUUGUGGAAGGAUGGAAGGAAAGAAUCUAGGAUGCCCAUAGAUCUGUGUUGGGGUUAAAUUUGGAGGGUGGUUUGAAGUUAGUGUCGGGUAUGCAAGGGAACUCUUCAACGAUACAAGAUCAUUCGAAUAUGGAUCACGACUCAGAGGAAUGCGCUAUAAAAGGUAAAGAUGGGAAAAAAAGACCCAAAAAGGAUAAUGGAAAUCAUAGUGUUUCGAUUGUGACAGAUUCACUUGUGAUUAGAGAUGAGAGAUUGUUGGGACGAACUCACUUUUUAUCGGCAGCUGCCAAGGGGCAAGAUGAUCAGUCACAAUAAAAAUAAUUAGUUGGAACAUCCGUUGAUUGGGGUGUCCACAGGCUAUAAGAAGGCUUUGACAUAUGUUGAAGGUGUAUAAUCCCCAAGUGGUCUUCUUUAUGGAGACAAAAAUUAGUAAUGUGCAAAUAGAGAAUGUGCAUAGAAGGUGUGGAUUUUUAAAUGGUAUUGAUGUUUCGGCCGAUGGUUCAAGAGGAGGUCAUUUUCUAGCUUGGAAGGAAAAUGUUAAAACGAAUCUAAUGAGUUAUUCUAGUAGUCAUGUAGAUGUUGUAUUUUAGAAGAUUGAUAAUGGAGGUUUGCUGGCUUUUAUGGGACAUCAAAUGCGUGUAGCAGAGACGAUUCAUGGAAUUUGUUAAGAAAUCUAGGACGCUCUCAAGCGUUCCCUUGGCUAGUGUGUGACAAUUUUAAUGAAAUUAUAUACUCUUUUGAAAAGGUUGGGGUGCCAAGAGAGGAGAAGAGAAUAGAGGUCUUUUGAGGAGUCUUAUAGGAAUGUUAGUUAAUGGACAUUGGAUACUUUAGGGCUAGGUUUACCUGGGAAAGGGGAAACUUACCGAAAACGAAUAUGAGAGAGCGACUGGAUAGAGGAGUGGCGAAUGCCGAAUGGAUGAACAUGUUUUCUAGUGCAGUGGUUUAGCAUUUACCACAUUCUUUUCCAGAUCAUUGUCCCCUUUUUAAUCAUACGGAGCAGGAGAGUAAUAGGUUGAGGCAGAAAAGGUUUCAGUCCGAGGCAUGGUGGGUGAUGUAAGAAUCUUUUGAGGAGGAGGUUAAACAAAUAUGUCAAUCUACUUCGGGUGAUAUGUUGGCUAAGCUAGAAGGUGUGAGGAAGGGCUUAGUGAGAUGGGCGGGUUUUGUUAGAAAUAAAAGAGAGGGCCUUAAAAGGAAUUUGACUAGAAAAUUGGAGGAGAUGAUGGGAAAGGAUAGAGAUGAUGAGAAUAUUGUUGAACUAUCUUAAAAUUCUCUUGUCAUAACUUGAAGUUUGUGUCAUUUAAUAUAAGAAUACAAUUAAUGCCUGCAAUAAUGUUGGCAGGUAUAAUUAUUGUUGUAUCAAACAAAACAAUCUCAUGUAUGACUUCAAAUAUAAAACAAAAUAAUAAUUAAUUCGAAUAAAGGUAAACCCUAAGAUACCAAUCACUCCAUUAAUAUUUCAUUUUUGAACAAAUAUAUUAAGUUGUAAAUGAUAUCUUGGUGUAGUAAUUAAACACCGACAAUAAGCGUCACAUGUUUAUUACAACAGUUGCAAAUGUAAUUUUGUUAAAUAUUAGCCUCCAUUUAGGCCAGUCAAUAUUAACAUAACUUAAGUUACAUACACACAACCCCAAAAUUAUAAAAGUCCUAUUGUUAAAUUGAUUUGGUUCCUUUGACAUAGGAAAGCCGAAUUGCAUAAACAAUCAAUGUAUCCCCUAUUUUAUUCAUGUUUAUCACAAUGUUUGAAGGAGUGCUCACUCUUUUAGGGCGUGUUUACCAUUGAGGUUGAAAAGUAUCAUUAAACCCAAACAAUUAUUUCAAACCAAACAUUAAUUUUAAACUAGGAUUUUAGGCCAACCCAAAACUUCUAGCUUUUACUUUUUGGAAAGGUGCUUUUCAAUUAAAAACCUUUUUAUUCCUCGUUAAACUUUCUACUUUAUAACAUAAUGUCUAAAAUGGAAAUUUUAUUUUUCUAAAAACACUUAUAGACAACAAUAAUAAUUACUAUUAAUUUUUUCAAAAUCACUUUUCUACGGCACUGUUAAACUUAAAUGAUAAUCUAGCCUUUUAACCACUCUUUUCUAACAGAGAGCUUAUCUCUUAGCAAUAGUUUGGGCAAACAAAAAUAAUGUAUAUAUGAAAACGAAUAUUGAAUUUGAAUGUACAAUCAAUUUUCUGAAUAAUUAAUUAAAAAGAAUGUUUGAAUUCAAAAAUUUUAAAAAUUUUGAUAAAAAAUGUGGAAGCGCAGACUUGUGUGAUGAAUAGUAAUGAUAAUAAUGAUAGAAGCUGUUUCCUGGCACGAGGAACUUAUGGAAUUCGUCCAUUUGGUUCUAUAUUAGCCCUGUUGCUUCCGUGUUUAAGAGUAAAACGACAAAAUAUUAAGUAGAAAACACCAAACGAAUUGAACUAUUUUCUUAAGAUGGUGUCGGUAAUGUAUCUGUGGAUACCCAUUUGAAUUUUUAAAAAACUGAAAAAAUUAAUUUAUUUUUUAGAUUGAAUCAGCAGCAGGAAAAUAAGAAAAAAUACAACUUUGAGUUUGAGUUUGGAACUCUGAGAUUUCGCUCGGUGAUCUGAAUGGUGAGGUGGUAUGUUUAAAUACGGAGAAUAAUAUAUAUUCGACUAGCAACAAUCUGAUGGAGUGAAAUAGGAACUGAAAAAAAGGGUAAUUUAAAGUUUUGGUCAUUGUUUUAAAAGAUUACCUUCAGUCAUUAUAUUUUUCAGUUUUGGAAUUCCAGUACUACUUAAAUUGUAAUUGUUAAAUCUAUUUACUAUAAUGAUAUAAAAUUUUUAUGAAUAUUAACACUAUUAUUUUUUUUAAAGCACUUAUUCAUGGCACAAGGAACUUAUGAUGAAUAGUAAUGAUAAUAAUGAUAGAAGUUGUUUUUCUGGCACAAGGAACUUAUGAUGAAUAGUAAUGAUAAUAAUGAUAGAAGUUGUUUUCCUGGCACAAGCAACUUAUGGGAUUCGUCCAUUUGGUUCUAUAUUUCUCCGCUUGCUUGAGCGUUUAAGAGUUAAAGGACAAAUUAUUAAGUAGAAAACACCAAACGAAUUGGAAGGCUUUUGUCUUCUUCAAUUGGUAUGACCUAUAUUUCUUAUUAAACUUCGUAUUUUACAUUCAAUAUCAUCAUCACAAUCAUUUUAAUUUAUUUUCAUGAAUAAACUUUUAUGUCUCAUUUUAAUUGAAUCAUUAAAAUUUAUUAAUUGAAUUUUUUUUUAAGAUGGUACCGUUAAUGUGUCAAGUGAUAUCAAUUUAAAUUUUUAAAAAAAGUUGUUUGAAUUAAUUUGAUUUCAUUCGGUAAUCCAAACAGUGAGAUAGUGUGUUUAACUACGGGGAAUAACAUAUAUCCAAAUGGUGACAAUCUGGUGGAGCGAAACAGAUAUCGAAGAAAGAGUAGUUUAAUGAAUUUGGAGUCGACUUCUGGAAAAUCUGAAUUAUAGAAGUGAACGAAGAGGAAAUCUCUUCUUUGGUGCCGUAAUCGACAUAAACGGCCAUUAUGAAUGGCAACAUCGAUAAUUAUUGAGUACAAUGAUUAAAAUUUUCAGUUAAAAAAAAGGAAUGGAAAGGAAAACAAAAAGAAAAACGUGGAAAGAAAGAAAGAAUAAUAAUAAUUAAUUAAUAAAUAAAAAGAGAAUUGUGGGGGCGAUGCUUUUGAACAAAUCUUGAUUUAAACUAUGUAAAGAAAAUAUGCGUUAUAUAUAUAAUUAAUUAUGCACUUAUACUUAAUAUAUUAUAUAUUUAAUGUCAUAUUUUCAUAUUCUCGGGAAGUGGUAAUAUACAAGUACUUGAUUUGAUUUAUUUCUUGAUCGCUUCGUGAAUUUUAUGUUUGUAACAAUAGGGACAGAAUUUCUUCAAUUCCAAUCGACUGGGCGUAUUGUGUCAAUUUUUUUUGAGUAAUAUACCUAGAAAUACCCGUUGAUUCCUUAUAAACGCCGUUUCAAACACAACUGGUACACCCCAAAAUAACCGUUACUCAGACAUCUUUACUAUUGACCAUGAACCUCCUUUGAGUUUUUAAUUCACCUAACUUUUCUAUUUUUCAAUCAAAAGCGAAGAAGAAAGGAAUGAAAAAAAGAAAGAAAUCAAAGUUGCUAACUCAAAACAAAUCCUGACAAUUUUGGUUGCAAUCAAUAUAGCAAGUCAAUAUAAAUUUAUAGUAAUAGCAAAUAAUAAGAAUAAGUAAUACAACGAUUUCUAACUCUAUUUAGAAUCAAAUCAGAGUAUGGUAUUUUCUUUAAUCAAUUAAUUGAAUUCAAAAUAUUCAAUUAAAAUAAAUUAAAUUGUAUAAAUUUUAUAAUUUUAAAUUAUUAUUUUUGUAUUAAUUUAAAACAAAAUAAAUAUUAUAUACAAUAAUUUAGUUGCAGCAUGUCAGCUUGAAGUCCAAGACCUUAUAACAUAUAAAUUUAAUAGAUAAUUAAUAACUAAAAAAUUAAAUAGCAAAAGCAUAAUUGCGCCACUUCUCACCAUUUUAGUGUAUGCAACUUAUUAUAUAUUUAUAUAUAUUAUCAUUUCAUUUUAAAUAAUUUAAUUUUUAUAUUAAUUUUUAUAAAUUUAGGGAUAAAUCUUAAAAUUAUACAUAAACUUUAAUUUAAUGUGUAAUUGCAUACAUAAACUUUAAUUUGGUACAAUUAUACACAUGAUACUCUAAUUGUGGUUCAAAUACAUACUUGAAACUUUAAUUUUGAUUUAAUCAUACACAUUUAAAUAAAUAAAUACAUCAAUUUAUUUUUAUAUUGGGUAAAUAUAUUUAUGUAUGCAAUAUAUAACAUAAAAUGAUGUUAUAUCAAUAAUUGUGUUAAUAAUUUUCAAGAAUUGGAUCAAAUCAAAAUUUCAUGUAUAAAAUUGCACAAAAUCAAAGUUCAUGUAUACAAUUGCACAUUAAACCAUAAUUCAUGUACAGUUUUAGUAUUUAUCCCAUAAUUUAUUAAAUAAACUUUUUACCUAUAUCAUAUAUAGAGUUGUCUGUGAACCGAGCCAAGGAAUGCCCGCUCGAAAAAAUGAGGGUUUAAGAAAAAAAAUAUGCCCAAAAAAAGGGCUUGGAUAAAAAGACAAGGCCCGUUUAGAAAAUGAAUCGGGCCUUUGCUAAGGUUUUUUUUGUCCAAGCUCAGCCCGACCCAAAUUUUCAAUAAAAAAACCCUACUGUUUUUACCGCUAUUUUUUCAUAUUUUGGUGUUGUUUUCUCACUUUUUGCCACUGGUUUACUAUCAUUUCACUAUUAUGUUACUACUAUUUUUUUUGUUAAUGUUUGGAUAUUGUAUAACACUUGUUUUAUUGUUAAUUUUGUCACUAUUUUAGAGGCAUUUGUUUGUUAUGUUGUACUUAUCUUAGUUUUUAUUUAAGUAUAAAAAAUUUUUAAAUUCUAUUUUCAAUUUAUUGGAAACAUGUAAUUUAAUAUUUGUAGUAUAUUUGGUGUAUUAUAAUAAUAUUUAUUAUUAAAAUAUUAAUAUUGAAUAUUUUCAAUAAUAUGUGAAGAAUAUUAUUUAAAAUUAUUUUUUAAAAUUUAUUAUUAAAUUAAAAUUGAAAUAUUAAAUAAUUUAUUAAAAUAAUUAAUUAUAUUAAUAAUUAAUUAUAUGACUAAAUAUAAAUAAUUAAAUAUGUAUGUUUAAUAAUAUUGAAAAAUAUAAUAUUUUAUAUUAAUAUUUUAAAUAUUUUUAAAAAUAAAAAUAAAAGUUAUUUUUAAUAUAAUAAUAUUAAGCUUGAUUUAAAUUAAUUUUUAUAUAAAAAUAAAAUUACCUAUAGAUGAGCUCAUUUUUUAGAAAAUGACUUACACUUUUCAAAAUGAUAAGUCAUUUUAUAGGAAAAAGAGCUAAUUUUACGUUGACCUAUAAGUCAUUUUCCGUUGACCAAACUGUUUUCUGUAAAACAAACAUAGAAAAAUGCAGAAAAUAGUUUCCGUAAAACUUUUUACAUGUAAACAAAUGGACCCUUAAUUCAAGCUUAUUCCAACAUAACCCACUUCACUAUUAGCAUGACUCUCCCUUAUACUAAAUUUAACCAUUAACCCUUCUCAUGAUUUCUAACAAAAAUUUUCAAGUUCUCUUUAAUGGCAACUUGUAUUAACUUCAACAAUAAGAAAUUCUAACUAUGGGGUUGGUUGUAUCAAGUUUCAUAGUUUAAAAAUCUAUAAAAAAAUUAUUGAGAAAAUAAUUUGUUUACCUUUGAUGGCCUUGAUGGAGAACAACUUGGUUUCUUCUUCUACUUAGUUUAAAGAAUGCAUGAAGAAGAAGAAGAUUUCCCCUCUCCCACUAUUUUAAAUAUAUAUAUAAAUAACCUAUUAAUCAAGGUAAUUAAGUCACUAAUUAACCUUAAUUAGUUAUGAUCUAAUGGCCAUAAACUUAUCAUGAGAAAAUUAGUGGAAAUGUGCGGCAUUGAUAAUGGUUUGCCAAUAAUCAAACUUUGGGCAUGGUAAUAUUGCAAUCAGGUUUUUGGUAUAAUUACACUUUUAAGUACUUGCUAAAUUCUGUAAUCAAUUCCCACUAGUUGGGUCACUUGAACAAUUGGGUCCAUGUACUAUAGUUACAACUUAUCCAAUUUAAUCAAUUAAUGAUUUGACUUUAUAAUUUCAUGUACAACACACAAACUCCUCUAGUAAAUUCUCGAGCUAGCUUUAUUUAAAAAUUUGGCCUCAAAAAUAGCUUUCCAAAUGUUCAUGAAAAUUGAGUCGUUACAUAUGGUAUUUGUUUUGUUCAGCUUAUUUGUCAGGCUCUAUAUCCUUUGAACUUAUGUUCGUUGACUUUGGUGUUGCUUAAAUGAAAAUGUGGUGAACAAUCUUAUGGAUAGGAGGAGUGUAUGAUUGAGUAUGUGUAACACCCUUAACCCACAUCCUUCGCCGAAUUAGAGUGACAGAGUGUUACUUGUAACACCCCAAACCCAGCCUAAACGUUAUGGUCGUAUCUGGCAAUGUCACACAAUAGUGUUUUUGAAACCUCGUUGUUACGUUGAAAACAUUUCAUGUUAUUAUCUUUAGUAAACAUUUGUUAGAACUUAGGAAGUCGUCUUUAUUCAUUUAAAACAUUUGUUUUGAAACAUCCCUCGUUGCGGAAGCUUUAAUAAAACAGUCUAAGUGAUCAUGCGUUUAGAAACUAUUUUAAUUUUUUGAAAACUGAAUUUCCUACGACCAACAGGUAUAAAUCCAUAAAGUAAAAUAAAUAAAUAAAAACCCAAAAUUUAAAACCAAAGUCCCAGAAGGUCCUUAAAUUACAACCCAAAUAAUCAAUAAUAAUUAAAUCAUAAAACGUAAAUUGAAAACCAUGAAGUCCAAAAAUUACUGUGGUCACCGCUGAGUCCUCCGUCGCACCGAUUCGUCUAAGUCUGGGGAUUACCUGUGCACGUUAAACAAAAAGGGUGAGUUUACGUAAAUUCAGUGUGUAGUCCCGCAGAAACAAAUAAACAAUCAGUAUUCACAGUGCACAGUUGAACAGUCUUGGGCCCAAGCCCAUCUCAGUACAAUGUCAAAAAUGCAGUAGCAGAAUCCUACCCAACCAACCUCCACACACUAUCUCCGCCCAACCCUACACUCCAUGUGGGGAUAUAAUCAACCCACCCAUCCCUACACUCCAAGUAGUACCGAAUGCGGCACAAAACAGUAGUUUGCAGCUGAGCUGCCAGUAAAUUAGGCUUAAAGCCUUUCAGUACACUUCCUCUGAAUAACAACCCCCAACCCGAUGCAAUGCAACAUACAAUAGAUGAUAUGCUAUUAUGCAAUUUCUGUACAUAUAUUUGGUUCAGAUAUUAACAUGCCCAGUAUAGAUAUCAUUCAGUCAAUUUCACACAUUUAGGGGUCUAAGUAGCGCUUACCGACCUUACAGUAGGUUCACAGUUGACUUGGGUGACCCGUACAACCUUAGAAACAUUCCGGUAAAAUUGGGCUACAUGCCCGUGUGUGCCCGUGUGGCCCACUCGGCCCAAUUUGGCCUUGGUCGUGUGAUCCAUUUUUAAUGUAACCCAUGCUAGCUAAAUAUUCAUAUAUGUUUUCACUAUUUACUUAUAUGUUCAUUUAAAGUUGUCUACUUGAGUCAUUGUCACUAAAUUAUUUAUACCUUGAGCUACAGAAUUCCAAAUUAAGAUCCGCUUGAUGUUUUCAAAACUAUACUCAAAUACCUUUCUACCAUAAAAUUUUCAAAUUUUAUAGUUUACCAAAUAAGUACAGUAAAAUCUUCAAAUUUAUCCCAAUUCUGCUAUUUGAUAGCUUCAACGUUUCCUUACUAAAAAUUAUUUAUCUCUUAGUACGGAAUUCGGAUGAUGUUUCCUUUGUUUCUCUUGAAAAUAGACUCGUUAAGGAUUUAAACAUAUAAAUUUAAGCCCCUAAUUAUUUUUUAAAAUUUUCGAUGAUUUUUCCAAAAUCAGAACAAGGAACCAAAACCCAUUCUAACAUUGUCUCACAAAAUUCAUUAUAUCUCAUAACUUAAAAUUUCAUUGCUUACACAGUUUCCUUCAUGAAAAACUAGACUCAAUAAAAUUUAAUAUCAUAUUUUAUUCAACCUCUAACUCAAUUUCCCCUAUUUUUGAUGAUUUUUCAAAGUUAGACUACUACUGCUGUCCAAAACUAUUUUAAUGCAGAAUGUUGAUUUCCAAGUUUAAAACACCCUUAUUUCCUUUCUCUACAAUUUUUUGCAUCAUUUUCUCUUAUUUCUCGUAUUUCUCGAUAGCAAGCAAUUUCAGCUUUUCGUUGAAUCCCAUUUUCUGCAUUUUGGGUACACACCUGGUAUCGUUUCUGAUGCGUAAGCACUCUUAAGCCUCCAGAACCUAAAAAUCGACCAAUAAAUCUCCAAAUUAAUCACUUAAUUCAUUUUUAAUCAACCAAUUUUGGAAGGAACUCGACUAAAAAAACCUAACAAAACCCUUACCUUGCUUCAGUAACCACGACUUCGCACAAUCAUAGUGUCGAUUCAAAACCACCAACCCCUUGAUUAACUCAUAAACACCAAAAAAGAAACCCCUUUUCAGAGAUUAACCAAGAACGAUUAACAAUAGAAAAAACUGUUACUUACCGAACACACGCAACCAACGAUGAACAACCAAAUCAAUUGGAAAAUAAUGAAAGAAAAGGAAGAGAAAAAAAUAAUGGAAAUUUCGGCAGCAACUAGGGGAAAGAAUCGGUAGAGGAGAGAAAAAAGAAGAAAAAAUCAGAAAAAGUUUGGGUAAUUGGAGAGAAAACCAAAACUCUACUUUUUUUUCUACAACAAAAAGAUAAUCAGAUUAUUUUCUGAUAACCUCUCCCCCAUUAUCUCCUAAAAUCACUCCUUAUUAACCCACUAAAACACAACUACUCAGAAUUUUACCCCAACACAACUCUUAGCCAAAAUUGGAGCAAAAAUACUGUCUCUACGCCAUCAUAGAGAAUUGAACAUAAGACCUCCUUCACACCAACACUCCAUUUAUCCACCAGACCAGCAAGCCCAUUCUGUUAAUUAUUUGUCAUCUUUUACUUAAAAGCCUACUGACCAAAGAUAGGGCUUAUUCAUAAAAAUACCAAAAUUUUCCCAAAACCUGGCUUGAACUUGGGACCUCUCACACACCCAAAACACUUAACCACUAAAGCAGAUACACAAUUGUGUCACACCUUCGUAAGAACAAAAAUAAAAAUUUUGGGACGUUACGUUACUAUACAAAAUAGAACAUUUCAUGACAACACAUAAAUAAUUAUGCAAAUUAUCACAAUCAUUAAUUAACCAUAUUAAAAUAUAACAUAAAUAUCCAUACGACCUUUAAAUCGAGCUUAUAUGUCCCUAAAAAUAGCUUGAGAUCAAUCUAGGAUCAAUUUUGAACAAAAACAUAAAUUUUAAAAAAACCCUAAAAAUUUUGGAAAACAUGGGUCACACAGCCGUGUGUCCAGGCCAUGUGACAUAGCCCAGACCUUGUGGGCAUUCAAAAUCAGGUAACGCAGUCAUGUCCCAGCCCGUAUGUCUACUUGUGUGAAUAUUCGAAAUAGGGUCUCACGGUCGUGUCGAGGAUCGUAUGCUAAACCGUGUGUAUAUUCAAAUUAUGGACACACGGCCGUGUCGCAGGCCAUGUGCUAGACCUUGCUCAAAACUAUUUUGAGACACACAGCUGUGUCUUAGACUGUGUGAAAUUUUCACUUUAAACAACAACACACAGCCGUAUCCUAAGCCGUGUGCACCAAAAUGUACCUUAAAAAUCAAAUUUACCAAAACAUGUUUACUUAGGCAUCAAGCAACCUAAUUACCAUCAAUUAAACUCAUUCAAAACACGAUUAAACAUGUUCAAAAUAUCCAUCCUAAGUUCCUAACCAUUGUGCCCUCAUUGACACCAUAAUUCAAUAAUCAAAUCAAUCACAUUUAAACCAAGAUUUAAACAUUCAAAUUAUAAAAUCACCAUUAACCAUUCAUACCAAAACACUACUCAUUUCAAGUCAUAAACACCUAGCAAUAUUCACAUACUUUAUAAAGCUUAACUACCAAUACCAAAUAAGAUCCAUACACACAUACAUACCAAACAAAACACAUAUUCACAAGUAUCAUUCAAGGUUUACAACUUUACAUGUAAUUAACAUGAUUUCAAGUCACUUAUUACAUGUCAUAUAACCCAAAACAAACAUUAAACAAACUACCAAUAGUUUCUCGAAUAGUUGAUUCUUGAUCUUGAUCUAUAAUAUAAUUUAUUUCAAUUAUUAGCCUCAAUUUUCAUAUUCUAAUCAUUUCAAUACAUAUGAUCUCUUGUUUACAAAUUUACAUAAUUACCCUAAAUUUUUACACAUUAUUCAAUUUAAUCCCUAUGACCAAAUCAAGCUUAGUUCUACAAUUAAAUUCUCAAUCCAUAGAACUAAAUUUUAACCACAUCCAAAACAAUUCAUAUAUGCUAAAAUUUUCAAGAGUAACAUGUCUAUUUCAAUUAAAUCACUAAACAUCAAAAUUUGUAAAAAUCACUUUACAAACUCAAUACAUAUCAUCACCAAGCUUCAACCCAAACUAUUUAAUAUUACAAAUCUUCAAAAUUUUCAAUACAUAAUUUCUAUACUUUGAUAACUUCACAAAUAAACUCCAAAACUAGCUAAAUUCCAUUAUCAAUAGCUCAAAACUUAAAUUUUAUGAUAAAUAAACCAAGAAAAUACUUACAUGCAUUAAAAACUAUCAAAAACCAAGCUCCCAAGCCUUAGAACAAAGGUGUUUCGGCCAAACCUAAGAAAAAUAAAGAAGAUGACCACUACCCCACUUUUGUUUUACUUUCUUUUUAUUAUUAUUAUAAUGUUUAUUUAUGAAAUUAUAACAUUAUCAAACACCAAUUUGAUAUUGUUUUUCUCUCUUUACCGCCCAUAUUAACUAACUAUGGGCUAAUGGCAACAUAACCCCCCUUAGUUUACUAAUUUAAGCUGUUAUAUUAAAAUAAAUCAAUAAUAAGCAACUUUUCCACCUAUUACAAAUUAAUCCUUUUUCUUUAAUCAAUUCACUAUACGUUAAAUUUUCUAAACCAAAACUUAAUAUAACACUGAUGACUUUGUAAAUAUUAAAUAAUUAAUAAUUUUAGAUUGACACGUCGAAAUUGUGGUCCUAAAAUCAUUAUUUUCAACACCACUAGAAAUCGGACUGUUAUAGUAUGGUUCUACCUCUUAGGGGGAGAUGUAUUCUAGUUUCCUUUCACUUGUUUAGAUGAUGUGUUAAUCAUUUGCUAUUGGUUUUGUCAAAAUGCCAAAUGGUGAGAUUGUUUGAACUUUGACUUCUUUUCUUAUUUCACUUCAUGUUCGAAGAGUAGAUUAAACCAUGCUUUGAUGCAUUCAAAGAAUUUAUGUUGGUAUAUUUGAUUUUAUAAUGAAAUGGCUUAUAGUUUAAUCUCGUUGAGUAGCAAAUGGGGAAGUGAUUUUGUAUUAUAACAUGUGAUGAUCAUUAUCUUUCAAUCAACUACCUUGGAAAAGAACGAGAGGAGUUUGAACUUUUGGGGACUUUCGUAAUAUUUGAAGCUGCUGAGAUAUUUGUUUAUAAAGACUUUUAUUUAUCAUUAAUCAAAAUAAUUCAUGAGAUAAUUUCAACCUUUAUAUUGGAGUUCUAAACUUAUGAAGACUCUAUUAUUGGCCUAUAAAUAGGCAUAAUUACCGCACAUUGAAAAUAGGCUUUUGGAGGGUUUGGAUACUUUGGUGAAUUUUUCAUUGGGCUAUAAAUAGGCAUAAUUACCGCACAUUGAAAAUAGGCUUUUGGAGGGUUUAAGUUGGAUACUUCAGUAAAUUUUUCUUGUGUUUUAUACCACACUCUUUUUAAGUUUUAUUGGAGAUAUUUAUUUGAUUGUAAGUGAGGUAUUUUGGAGAGAAUGAUUUAUAAUAAUUUAGGUUCAAUAUUAAAGUUGCAAAUAAUUACGGGUAAAAGUAAUUUGGACUGUAGUCAAUAGUUGAUCAAGACGAAUUGUAAAUUAAAAUUAUUUUCUAAGUAAAAUUCUACAAAAUAAAACUGGUAAAUUCAAACUGCGUUAAUAAAUAUUACAUAUUAUCUUUCCUUACUUUACUCGUUGCUUUACCUUAUUUUAAAAUUGUUUUGUUAUAAUCUAUUAUGUUUGAACCUUUUCGAUCGAAAUAAAAAAAAUGAGAUUGAAAUUGUGAUAAAGCUAAAAAAAGGUUACAACAAAUAUGAUUAAUAUUAUUUUUUAUAUAUACUUAAUAAAAGUUAAAAAGGGAAUUCCAUUUAUUGAAUAUUAUUUUAUUUAAUAAAAUAUAUUUUAUAUAUUUUAUAUAAAAUUUAAACAUUUUAUUGUUUGUUAGUUAAAUUUUAUUAUUUUUAUUUUCUUUAUGAAUAAAAAUAAUUUUCCUAAAAUAUGAGAUAAAAAAUGUUAUAGAGAAUUAAAUUAAUAAAAAGUACAGUUCAUACUUUAUAAUUAUUAUAAAUGAAAAAAUAUUAUGAAAAAAUAUUAAACAUAAAAAAUUAAUUCUAAAAUAAACUUAACUAUAAUAAAAUAAUUUUAUAUAAAAAAAGAAAUUAUAGAAAAGACUUAUUGAAUAUAUUUCCAAUUUUCGACAUUCAUAAAACAAAAAAUAAAAAAAGUGGUUCUAAUAAUUUAUUUAUACAAAAAAAAAAAAGUGGUCCUGACGUUCAUCCUUUCCCAUCUCUAUAAAUUUGCAUGCAGAACUAAAGCAACACAUAUCAACACAAUCUGUAUAACCAUGAAAACCACAACAGCUUCGGUGUUUCUUCUUUUCAUCAUCUUCUCAAUCACACCAUCGUCCUUUUCGUUUGGUGUGGCCAACUCUACAAACGCUCCUGUGCUCGACAGUGAUGGCAACGAGCUCCGCACGGGCACCCCAUACUUCGUUGUGUCGUCGAUAUGGGGUGCUGGUGGUGGGGGGCUUGCCCUAGGCAUGCCUAGCGGAAACCCAUGCCCGGAAGUCGUUGCUCAAAGAGGAUCCGGUGACGAUGGUAUUCCGGUGAUAUUUUCUAAUUCGGACUCCAACGAUGGCGUUGUUCGCCUAUCCUCUGACAUAAACAUAGAGUUCAUUCCCCUCAGACCCAAACUUUGCCGAACAACAACGGUGUGGAAGGUCGAUGAUUACGACCACUCAGCCGGAAAAUGGUGGGUGAUAACCGAUGGGGUUAAAGGGAACCCGGGUGCCAACACUUUGACCAGUUGGUUUAGAAUAGAGAAGUUGGGUGAUCUUGAUUACACAUUUAAGUACUGCCCCGCAGUAUGUGGAACAUGCCCAGCUUUAUGCAACGAAAUUGUGAGAGACUCAGAUGGAGAAAUGAUACGUUUGGCUCUCUCCAAUGGCCAUGGAUGGCAAUUUUACUUUAAGAAAGUUGAAACAUCAGCCAUGGAGAUUCAACAAGUUCAUAAUUAGAUUGAAAGCAAUCAUUAUGCAUGAACUAGUAGUUACUAUACAUUAUUACCUUCAAGUAAAUAAUGCCGAGAGAACUGAUUGUUAAUUAAGAUUGCCUUGUUUGAAGCAGCAGCAUGAAUAUAUAUAUAUGCUUGCUUACAAGGUUUGUCUCUCAGAGUCCUUCUCUUUGUACUCUUUCCAGCUUAAUGUAUAAACUGUCUACUUAUUUACUUCUUUUAUCGCCAUUGAUUCUAGUAGUAUUAGACUCAUUAACUUGGAUACAUUGUCUUGUAAUUAACCCAAAAAUUAUAUAUAUAUAAAAAAAGAGUGAGAGAGGAAAAUAGACUACCAAGUAACAAGCGAAAAACGGUAAUACUAGGGUUAUUUAGAGUGGUUUCAAUGCACAACGGGAAUGAAUUGUCGUUGGUUGGGUGGUUAGGGCACCUUACUUAUCUUUAGAGCUAAAGAAGGUUUCGUAACUACUCUUUCAAUAAUAUUAUUUUUAAGGUUCGAACCUGCAUUAUCCUUUGAACACGUAAUAUGUUUUAUCAUUACGCUCAACAUUAUUAAUGAUUUACUUUAUUCUAUUCUUAAUUAAUAAUUAUGAUAUAUAUUAAGUUUAAGAUGAAUUUUCUUAUUCAUGUAUAUCAAUUAAAUCAAAUAUUUGUAUUUAAAGUUUUAACCCAACAUUAACUUCUUCUUUUUUUUAUUUCUUUCUUUGUUGGUGAUGAUUAGGAGAUUGAUGGCCGGUCUUUGUGGUUGGUAGCUUUUAACACAAUGGCAAAGCCAAGGAGGCUUUAAAUGUUUAAAUGGAUUUUUUUUUCAUUUAAACUUCUUUAUAAUUUAUAAAAUUUUAAAUUAAUAAUGAUAAAAUUACAUUUUAAUCUUUUAAAAAUAAUAAAAAUGUGGAAGCACAUUUGUACGAUUAAUAAUAAUGAUAAGAUUUUUCCCACCACAUGGAAAUUUAUGGAAACGUCAUUGGGUUUUGUAUUUAUGUUUUAUUUGACACUCUUUUAAGUUUUAUUGGGAAGAUUUGCUUGAUUGUAAGUGAGGUAUUUUGGAGAGAAUGAUUUGUAACAAUUUAGAUUCAAUAUUCGAGUUGCAAAUAAAUAUAGAGUAAAGUAAUUUGGGCUUAGUGAAUUAUAGAAUAAAAUCAUAUUCUAAACAAAAUUUUAUAAAAUAAAAUUAAUGAAUCCUAACUAAGUUAACAAAUAUUUCUUCACUCUAGGCAUUGCUUCACCUUAUCUCAAAAUUGUUCUGUAAUAAUCUAUUUUGUCUCGACCUUUCCAACAGAAUUUAAAAUGAAACUAUUUCUGAUAAGUGCAGGCCAAAAACUUUUUCGCGUACCAAUAAAUGGCAAGCGACCAUACUGUGGGCCCAAUGUCCCAACAAUCAUCUAAACAUUUUUUUUAAUAAUAUGUAAUAAUUUAUAUACCAUAUAUGAAUAUUAAUUAAAAUAAUAUAAUAUGGACCCAAAUUGUUUCAUAUUUGAAAUCCAAUUUUUGAUAAUUUCACAUUUCAUAUUUUAUCUUAGAACAAAAAAAAUAUAUUUGAACUUAAUAUUUGGCCUAUUAAUCAAUGGUGUUUACUAUAUUUUAAGACUAUCGAAUUAAUCUAUCGACACUACUUGUAUGGUAUAAUUUAAAUGGGUGUGUGUGGGUAUAUAAAUUUGAAAUUCUAUUGUAUCAAAGAAAAAUUUAGAAAAAAAUAAAAAAAAAAAAGAAUUUGCAAUUUAUAAUUUGAGAUAAAAAUAAAAAAAUGAGAUUUGUGAUAAACCAUAAAUUAAGCUCAAAAAAAGUUACAACAAAUAUGGUUAAUGUUAUUUAUAUAUAUACUUAAUAAAAGUAAAAAUAUCGAAAUUCCAAUAUUAUUUUUAUUUAAUAAAAUAUAAUUAAUAUAUUUUAUAUAAAAUUUAAAUAUUUUAUUGAAAUAUUAUGUUAGGUAAAUUUAUAAAUAAAAUUAAUUUUACUAAAAUUUGAGAUAAGAGAAUUAAAUUAAUAAAAGGCAUAUUUCAUAUUUUAUAGUUAUUAUUAAUAAAAAAUUAUUAUAAAAAUAAAAAAUCAAUUCUACAACAUAAUGAAAUAUUUUUAUUAAAAAAACCAGAAAUGAUUGAUGGAAUAUAUUUCCAAUUUUCGACGUUCAUAAAAAAAAAAAGAGUGGUCCUAAUAAUUUAUUUAUUGGGAAAAAAAAAGUGGUCCUAUUAAUUUACCUCACAUUUGAAAUGUGUUAUAUGUAAUAAUAAUAAUAUCUAUAUAAAUUUUGGACGUUGAUCCUUUCCCAUCUCUAUAAAUUCGCAUGGAGAACUAAAGCAACACAUAUCAACACAAUUUAUAUAACCAUGAAAACCACAACAGCUUCGGUGUUUCUUCUUUUCAUCAUCUUCUCAGUCGCACUAUCGUCCUUUUUGUUUGGUGUAGCCAACGCUACAAACGACCCUGUGCUCGACAUUGAUGGCAACGAGGUUCAAACUGGCACCCCAUACUACGUUGUGUCGUCGAUAUGGGGUGCUGGUGGUGGGGGGCUUGCCCUAGGUAGGCCUAGAGGAAAGCCAUGCCCGGAAGUCGUUACUCAAAGACGAUCCGGUGACGAUGGUAUUCCGGUGAUAUUUUCUAAUUCGGACUCCAACGAUGGCAUUGUUCGCCUAUCCUCUGACAUAAACAUAGAGUUCAUUCCCCUCAGACCCAAACUUUGCCGAACAACAACGGUGUGGAAGGUCGAUGAUUACGACCAUUCAGCCGGAAAAUGGUGGGUGAUAACCGAUGGAGUUAAAGGGAACCCGGGUGCCAACACUUUGACCAGUUGGUUUAGAAUAGAGAAGGUGGGUGAUUUAAGUUACAAAUUUAAGUACUGCCCCACAGUAUGUGGAACAUGCCCAGCUUUAUGCAACGAAGUUGGGAAAGACUCAGAUGGAGAAAUGGUACGUUUUGCUCUCUCCACUGGCCCUGGAUGGUCAUUUUACUUUAAGAAAGUUGAAAAAUCAGCCAUGGAGAUUGAACAAGUUGUUCAUAUUUAGAUUGAAAGCAAUCAUUCUGCAUGAACUAGUAGUUAUUAUAUAAUAUUAGCUUCAAGUAAAUAAUGCUGAGAGAACUGAUUGUUAAGAUUGCCUUGUUUGAAGCAGCAGCAUGUAUAUAUAUAUAUGCUUGCUUACAAGGUUUGUCUCUCAGAGUCCUUCUCUUUGUACUCUUUUCAGCUUAAU
rnacentral:lncRNA from 1 species